UACGUAGGGGGCUAGCGUUGUCCGGAAUCAUUGGGCGUAAAGAGCGUGUAGGCGGCCCGGUAAGUCCGCUGUAAAAGUCAAAGGCUCAACCUUUGAAUGUCAGUGGAUACUGCCGGGCUAGAGUCCGGAAGAGGCGAGUGGAACUCCUGGUGUAGCGGUGGAAUGCGCAGAUAUCAGGAAGAACACCAACGGCGAAGGCAGAUCGCUAGGACGGUACUGACGCUGAGACGCGAAAGCGUGGGGAGCGAACAGG
rnacentral:rRNA from 1 species